rnacentral:lncRNA from 1 species
GGCAUGAACCCUAAGAUCCAGUACUCUUUGGAAACAGAAACUGAUUUGUUCUCCGUCACCAAGGAAGGAUUCCUCAUCGCCAGGGGCAAGCAGCCAAAGCCACCUCACACUCACCAGUUGGAGGUAUUGGCCACUGAUUUGGAGUCAGGGGAUGUGGCCAAGGCAUCCAUCAGAGUGACGGUUCUUCACCGUGGUCAGCCAGUGCCCCACAGCCCACUGGGUGAGGACGCCAUGUAUGGGCAGGGGUCGCCCGGGCGCGCGGUGGGCGUGAUGGGUCUGUGUCUGAUCCUGCUGGGCGCCGCGGUGUGUGUGCUCGUCCGCUGGCUCAGACGCAGGAAGAGAAGACAGGACCCUGCAGACCGCGCCAGUGUGGCACAGGGAAAACACCCCAAUGUGGUGAACCACGGCCGGCCGGUCCCGCUGCUGGACGAGGUCUCGCUCCACAGCGAGGCGCUGAGCGGCGGCUUCGACGCGUCCCAGUCCGUGCUGCACGGCAAGGCGGGCGUGUACACCGUCACCGAGAGAGUCUCCAGCUCAGCCACACCCACCUCCGCGCCCGGGCCCGCCUCCUCCGCCAUACGCUCCAAUGGGAAGGCCUCCGACAAGCCCGUGAACAAAUCUGUGUCCUUCCAUCACGAGGUCAUCAUCAGGGCUGGCAAUGCUGGAGGGGUUCACACACACCCUGAGCGGGCGGCGGCAGACACAACCCUGACACACACACCCCUGCUCCCCACGUCUACAGGAAGCGCAGCAGAAGACACACACACGGCGGAGGAUCCAGGCCUGGGUUUAGACACCACCACCAACUCCAGUCUGGCAAGUCAAACCAUAGAUCAAGAACACACAAUCAAACUGGAUGAAUCGAUCACGAACGCAAGACAGGUGAGGUUUGAAGCUGGAGCUACUCUUGAGCAGUCCAGUCCAAACCAAUCUACUGUUGAGCAGUCCAGUCCAAACCAAUCUACUCAUGACCAGUCCAGACCCGACACGACGAACCCAGAUGGAUCAAAUCCAGCUACCGGUGAAGGAGAGCCUGAAGUAGUAGAGCCACCCAAGCAGCCUGAUUCUCCACCGCGCACGAGCCAAGACCAGCGAGACGCUCCGGAAACACAGAUGGAAAGGAUAGAGGAGGAGUGUAAUCCAGACGAGGCGAUGGCUGAUGAUCCACAGCGCAGUGACUCACGCAGGGACGAUCAAACCCUCCCUUCUGCACGCGCUCCAGAGGAGGUGAUGGCUGAUGAUCCACAGCGCACGGACGAUCAAACCCUCCCUUCUGCACGCGCUCCAGACGAGGUGAUGACGGAUGAUCCACAGCGCACGGACGAUCAAACCCUCCCUUGUGCACGCGCUCCAGACGAGGUGAUGGCUGAUGAUCCACAGCGCAGGGACAAUCAAACCCUCCCUUCUGCACGCGCUCCAGGAGCCCAAGGGGAAGGCGCUAACCCAGAGAUGCAACACAAAGAUGGUGUGGAGAAGACGUGUGGAGAAAUCCCCAAACCUUCAGCCGAGCUGGCUGCCCCAAGCCCCCCCACUGCAGAGGCACACAGCGGAGACGACACACUCACACACCCCGACACACUCACACACCCCGACACACCCAGUCGAGACGACACACUCACACACCCCGACACACCCAGCACCGGCCUCAGCUCUGAGGAGAAAACUACUGAUGCUGUCAGUCAAGGCACAGUUAACACAGACGACAUCACAGUUAACACAGACGCCAUCACAGUUAACACAGACGCCAUCACAGUUAACACAGACGCCAUCACAGAGAGGGCGGACGCCAGUCUGGAUGCGGGCGUAUCAGACAGAAGCACCCAGGGUGGUGAAAUAACAGCGUCCACAGAGCCAGGAGCUGAUGAGACAGGCGUGGCAAACACAAACACGCCACCUACAGGCCAAGACAGGAAAACCACUAACAUGCCAAUGCCAGAUAUCGUAAUCACCGGUAGCACAGACGCGGAAGAUGACGCAGACAUGGAGAAGUUCACAAAGAUCACCAACCUUGAUGAUGACGUAACAGACACGACCGGUACAGAUGGUCAGUGAACAGACUACUCAGGCCCCGUCAGUGAGAGACACACACACACACACACACACACACACACACACACAUAUACACUCGCCCCACCCCACCCACGAUGUAAAAGACUGAGCUCUGACUUCCAGAAGGAGGAAGGAGAGGACGAGUCCGCAAACACACACACACACACACACACACACACACACACACACAGGACGAGUCUGCUAUCACAUGCAGCUGGUGAAAAGGCCAGCUGCCUUUGCGCCGAACGACAAUAGAAAUGGAAUGGUGUGUGUUACCGUUAUACAAUAAAAAUGGAAUGGUGUGUGUUACCGUUAUACA